rnacentral:rRNA from 1 species
UUCGCUCGGGCGGUUUGGGCCGUAGUUCAAGUAACUUCAAAUUUAUACCCACCACGUAAUGCUCGUAACAUGUUCGACAACUGGUUGAUGGGUAUUGAUAAACAAUUUUCUGCAUAUAUUCUUGUGGGGACGGCUGCCUUAUGUUGGGCAUUGUGGCUUACGAGGAAUGAUGUGGUUUUUAAUAAAAAAUGUGUUUCAGCUCCUAUGCAGGUUAUUCAUGUAUGUAUGCGAUGGCUCCGUACUUGAUCUAUCCUGCAGAGGCCGGAGGAUAGGGACCUUUUUAUGAUGGCGUCUACGCGACAGUAG